AUUGAACGCUGGCGGCAGGCUUAAUACAUGCAAGUCGAGCGGGGGAAGGUAGCUUGCUACUGGACCUAGCGGCGGACGGGUGAGUAAUGCUUAGGAAUCUGCCUAUUAGUGGGGGACAACAUCUCGAAAGGGAUGCUAAUACCGCAUACGUCCUACGGGAGAAAGCAGGGGAUCUUCGGACCUUGCGCUAAUAGAUGAGCCUAAGUCGGAUUAGCUAGUUGGUGGGGUAAAGGCCUACCAAGGCGACGAUCUGUAGCGGGUCUGAGAGGAUGAUCCGCCACACUGGGACUGAGACACGGCCCAGACGCCUACGGGAGGCAGCAGUGGGGAAUAUUGGACAAUGGGGGGAACCCUGAUCCAGCCAUGCCGCGUGUGUGAAGAAGGCCUUAUGGUUGUAAAGCACUUUAAGCGAGGAGGAGGCUACUCUAGUUAAUACCUAGGGAUAGUGGACGUUACUCGCAGAAUAAGCACCGGCUAACUCUGUGCCAGCCGCCGCGGUAA
rnacentral:rRNA from 1 species